rnacentral:sRNA from 2 species
UCACCGGGCCAGCUCAACCCGCAUGGCAGGAGCGGGGGAACCACUUUCCUCCGGGCGUCUCCGGACGCCCUUGGGGUGAAGCCUCCGGCUCGAGUCGCGACAACCGUCGCGACAGAGAGAGCCGAAGGCCGGGCACGCAUCUCCUGCCCGAACCCGACAGCUAACUUCGCAGGCGCCGGAGAGGUACA